rnacentral:rRNA from 1 species
UACGUAGGGUGCAGGCGUUAAUCGGAAUUACUGGGCGUAAAGCGUGCGCAGGCGGUUGUGCAAGACAGGUGUGAAAUCCCCGGGCUUAACCUGGGAACUGCGCUUGUGACUGCAUAGCUGGAGUACGGCAGAGGGGGAUGGAAUUCCGCGUGUAGCAGUGAAAUGCGUAGAUAUGCGGAGGAACACCGAUGGCGAAGGCAGUCCCCUGGGCCUGUACUGACGCUCAUGCACGAAAGCGUGGGGAGCAAACAGG